rnacentral:rRNA from 1 species
UGCCAGCCGCCGCGGUAAUACGGAGGGUGCAAGCGUUGUUCGGAUUCACUGGGCGUAAAGCGUGCGUAGGCGGCCAAGUAAGUCGGAUGUGAAAGCCCAGAGCUCAACUCUGGAACUGCAUCCGAUACUGCCUGGCUUGAGUUUGGGAGAGGGAAGCGGAAUUCCUGGUGUAGCGGUGAAAUGCGUAGAUAUCAGGAGGAACACCCGUGGCGAAAGCGGCUUCCUGGCCCAAUACUGACGCUGAGGCACGAGAGCGUGGGGAGCAAACAGGAUUAGAUA